AGUGAACGCUGGCGGUAUGCCUAACACAUGCAAGUCGAACGGCAGCACAGUAAGAGCUUGCUCUUACGGGUGGCGAGUGGCGGACGGUUGAGGAAUACAUCGGAAUCUACUUUUUCGUGGGGGGUAACGUAGGUAAACUUGCGCUAAUACCGCAUACGACCUACGGGUGAAAGCAGGGGAUCUUCGUACCUUGCGCGAUUGAAUGAGCCGGUGUCGGAUUAGCUAUUUGGCGGGGUAAAGGCCCACCAAGGCGACUAUCCGUAGCCGGUCUGAGAGGAUGGUCAGCCACCCUGGAACUGAAACACGGUCCCGACUCCUGAGGGAGGGACCAGUGGGGAAUAUUGGACAACGGGGGCAAACCUGAUCCAACCAUACCGCGUGGGUGAAGAAGGCCCCCGGUGUGGAAAGACCUUUUGUUGGGAAAGAAAAGCAGCAGGUUAAGACCACGCUGUUCUGACGGUACCCAAAGAAUAAGCACCGGCUAACUUCGUG
rnacentral:rRNA from 1 species